UGGGGAAUUUUGGACAAUGGGGGAAACCCUUAUCCAGCCAUCCCGCGUGUGCGAUGAAGGCCUUCGGGUUGUAAAGCACUUUUUGCAGGAAAGAAACGUCAUGGGUUAAUACCCCGUGAAACUGACGGUACCUGCAGAAUAAGCACCGGCUAACUACGUGCCAGCAGCCGCGGUAAUACGUAGGGUGCAAGCGUUAAUCGGAAUUACUGGGCGUAAAGCGUGCGCAGGCGGUUCGGAAAGAAAGAUGUGAAAUCCCAGAGCUAAACGUGGGAACUGCAUUUGUAACGAGCGAGCUAGAGUGUGUAAGAGGGAGGGGGAAUUCCGGGUGUAGCAGUGAAAUGCGUAGAUAUGCGGAGGAACACCGAUGGCGAAGGCAGCCUCCUGGGAUAACACUGACGCUCAGGCACGAAAGCGGGGGGAGCAAACAGG
rnacentral:rRNA from 1 species